rnacentral:tRNA from 1 species
GCAUCAUUGGUCUAGUGGUAGAAUUCGUCGUUGCCAUCGACGAGGCCCGUGUUCGAUUCACGG